GACGAACGCUGGCGGCGUGCUUAACACAUGCAAGUCGAACGGAAAGGCCCUGCUUUUGUGGGGUGCUCGAGUGGCGAACGGGUGAGUAACACGUGAGUAACCUGCCCUUGACUUUGGGAUAACUUCAGGAAACUGGGGCUAAUACCGGAUAGGAGCUCCUGCUGCAUGGUGGGGGUUGGAAAGUUUCGGCGGUUGGGGAUGGACUCGCGGCUUAUCAGCUUGUUGGUGGGGUAGUGGCUUACCAAGGCUUUGACGGGUAGCCGGCCUGAGGGGGUGACCGGCCACAUUGGGACUGAGAUACGGCCCAGACUCCUACGGGAGGCAGCAGUGGGGAAUAUUGCACAAUGGGCGGAGGCCUGAUGCAGCAACGCCGCGUGCGGGAUGACGGCCUUCGGGCUGUAAACCGCUUUCGCCUGUGACGAAGCGUGAGUGACGGUAAUGGGUAAAGAAGCACCGGCUAACUACGUG
rnacentral:rRNA from 1 species